AAAAACCGAACCGAACCAAAACCAACCCGAUAUCCGGAUUGAACACCCGUAAUCCAAAUGAAGCCAAACUAUUGUUUCAUUCUCCAAAAUAUAAUAAAAAUAAUAACUUAAUCCCGCGCAAGGCGCGGGUCUUAUCCUAGUAUAAAUGAGAAUGAGAGAAAAGGAAAUUUCAAAACAAAAACAGACUAUGAUGAUUUGUUAUGACCAAAAUUAAAUAUAUACUAAAAUAUUUAUAAAUUAAUUAUAUAAAUUAAUAAUUUAGUGAAUCAUUUAAUAAUAGUGUUGAAUUAAAUUUUGUAGCCGGUCAAUCUUUUGAUAAAUUAAUAUUUCGUAAAACUAAUAAUAUUAGUGGUUUAAUUGUAUCCAUAUUUGUUUGUAGUUCAAAGGAUGUUUAAGGACAUACUAUUCUUAUAUAUUUGACUUUUAGUAAUCACGUUUCAAGAAAAUCCAAAGUCUACUGUUUGUGACUUUUCUGGCUUUUGUUAGUGGACUCAAACAUGCACCCACAUUUCUCAACUUCUAUUACCUGAAUUUAUAUUUUAACACACAUUCUUUUGUUAUAUAAAUUGAAACAUUUGUUUAACCUCAAAAAGAGUUUUGUCAUCUAGUUAAGAAAUGUCUAGCACCAAUCUUAUAUUUUAACACAAUUACAUUUGUUAUAUAAAAAUAAAAAAGGUUUAACCUCAAACAGAGUUUUGUCCUCUAAUCAAGAAAUGUCUAGCACCAAUCUUAUAUUUUAACAUAAUUCUUUUUGCUAUAAAAAGAAACAUUAGUUCAAUCUCAAUACAGAAUUUUGUCAUCUAAUUAGAAAAUGUCUACCACCACGAGUUGGAUUCAUGUGCUUCUUCCCCCUUUGCCGACUCCAAUCUUUUUUACCUUUACAUUUAUUUUAUUUGUUCUUCAGCAUUCCACAUUCUCAAGUAUAGUCCAAAAGAAAAGCAAAAAAUGUUUCUUUUCACAAAUUUAGUUUUCCUAACUAGACAUGUACAUAAAGCCAAACCGAUUUGGUUGAACAGAGCUGAAGUUUAGCCAAUUCGGUUUGCAUUCGGUUUGUGCACAAAACCGGUCAACAACAACAUGUUUAGUCAGCAUUCAGUUCGGAUUUGAAAACCGAUCAGUUAAGCUUUAGACCGAAAUUUAUCAAACUGAACCAAACUCUUACAACGUAAACCAAAAUUAACCAAAAAAUACAAAUAACCAUAAUUUGGCACGUUUGUUUUUGAACCGAAAGCAGAACUGAAUAUCGUAAUAUCAGCCUAGAUAGAUAAAGCAACAAGCAAUAGCUUUCUUUCUUUAGGUCUUUUAGCUCUUAAUAAAUCAAAAUUGCAUGUCUACAUAUCUCAAAAGUUUAUUGUGUAUUCCAGCCAUCUUGAGGUUGUUUGCAGUUUAAUACCACACCUCCUUGACCUCCAAGAGAACUAUAUCACUUCUAAAAAUUUCCAAGUUCACUUUUGGCUCAACAAUGCUUUCCACCAAAUGAGCAUAAAGAUGGAGACUGCAUUUUCCUUGCCAUCAAUAACCACUGCUAUUAUGCUAUCCUGGAGGCAAACUCGAGAGCAAGUUUCAUACAAAGAAUGACCCAUAAUAUAUCCUUUCCAUAAAAAUAUUCUGAGAGAAAUAUAAAAACCAGACAAUAAAGAUAGUUGUAGGUUUGUAACCAUUGAGAAGACUAAUGUAUUGAGAAGACUAAUGUAAGUAAGCAGCGAAAUAGAGCAUCAGGACCAUAACUACAAAGUUUGCUAGAGGAUUCAGUUAGAUUCUAUAGAUGUAUAAGACAUAGAAAAUACACUGCGGAGACUGAAGCAGAUUCGCCUUUUUAUCUUUGAAACUCAGAUAAAAUUGGAAAAUUAUCUAAAAUAGCGCAUAUUCCUAAUAUCACUUAUCAUAUUUACUUUAACAAUUUUCACUCUCACUUUUAAAGAGAAAAAAAGACAUUUAUAUGACUUAGGAUUUAGAAUUGAAAGGUGAGGUAGGGAUUUUUGGAAUAUGGAGUUAAGUAUUCUAAUAAAUAUAUAAAUAAAAACUAAUUUUUUAAAAUUUCUUUUUAAAAUAGUUUCAUAAAAUAUUUUUUUUUCAUCUGAAAAUGUAUAAUUUGAAAACUAUAAAAAAAGAGAAUUUUUAUUUUUUAUUUUUUUAUUUAUUUAAAUAAUUAUUUUUUAUUUAUGUAGAGCAAAUAUAUAAAAGUCUUUUGUUUCUUAAUGAAUAAUGAAUUUUUGAAAAUUUCUCUUUAGUGAAGGUAAACAUGAAUAAUGAUAUCAACAAUGUGGUAAACAUGUUCACCGAUAAAAUUUAGGAAUCAAUCAGAAUGGUGUCUUUUCUUUUUUUUUGUUAGAGAAAAAAGAGCUUUCUACACUAACUCAAGAAUCAAGAGUUAUGCAAGCAAAAAAAAAAUGGAGAUCAAACAAUGCAACUUGACUCAUAGCUCCAUGAUCAUUAUCAAGACAGUCUAGCAGACAUGAUAUGGUAAGGCUGUUUGGUAAUCUGAUAUCCAGGGGAAACACAAUGGAUCACAAGUGUUUGGGCGAAAAGUACUUGACGUGAAUCUUCAAGAGAAAGAUAUGUUAUCUCAUACUUGAGUCUGUCAUGUUUAGUCACAAACAGAGUUAAAAGGUCCAAAUGACAAGUAUUCUUAGCUUGGCAAUGCGACUUAUGUUAACAACAACCAGUUCAUUCACAAGAACGGUUUCUAAAUGGUCCAGUAUUUUCUUUGGCUUGACAAAAGCCAAAGCCUGGGUCUGCUUCUUGAGAAAUUAUCCGACAGCCCAAGAGCUUUCCGCAUUAAACGUACGCAGAAGUGGGAAUCAAUCGAUUGGGAGCGAAUGAGACUAUGAACUUAUGGGGCAAGAGCUUCGGCGCUGAGGUGACAUAGCGUUAGAAAUAUCAUGAAAUGCCGUCACAACAAAUCUACCGGAAACUUGUUAUGAAACGCAAUCAGGGCUCAGAAGAUUUGGAUUCAGAGAAGAAACCUCUGCUUCAGUCUCUUCACCUGCCUAAUGUAUUUGGUAUUAGUUCAUUGAAGGGAGAAACGACGACGUAUUUAUUAAGCAUGUAUGUGAGGUUUUCUAUUUCGUCCCACAUCGUCAAAUAACAGGGAACUCGUACUGUUUAUAUAUCAGAGAGAUGGAAGUGAAGGUCACGACCUUACUUGAACAGGAUCUGUUCUAUAGGCUCGUACCUCUGUAUCCUUGAUUUCUAAGGAGAUAGUCCCUCAAAUUCUGGUUGAUGAAUCAUGGCCGUGCGGUCUGAGUGUGAUUAACGGUUACGAUUCUCCUCGGAGUCUCAGUGCUGUAGAGGAUCGCUAUCUGGUUAGGUCUUGACCUCUCCAGAGUGGUCGCACGGUUGUCUGACAGGCUUUCCUAUUUUGCCCCUUCCUCUGGGGUUUGCCAUUGUGAUAACAGACUUUUGAACUUUCUUGCAGAUCCAUUCUUGAUCAUAUCUUUCAUUGACACCACCGCAGACAAGCACCGUGAAGACCACAAGCCUCAGGAGCAGCCUUGAAUUACAAAAAUUAAUUGAUCUUUGAGUUAAUUUGUUAGUUGAAACAUAUAAUUGUUGUUUUACCAUAUCACUAUAUUUUGAUCCGGUUUUGGAAGCGCGGAUUUAUUUUGGAAUUAAAUAAAUUAUUUUUAUACGAAUUUCUAUAUAAGAUAAAAUAUCUAUUUGAGCACAUUUAACGGGAACAAAGAAACCGAAUCGUACCAUAAAAAAAUCUAAACAAAACUAAAUAUUAUAUUUAACCGAGCGGAUCUAAUACCUCUAGAACUAAAAAACCAGGACCGAACCAAAAACUAAGAGUAUCCAAAAAAUUUAAAUACAAAUUAUAUACCAACAAUUUUUAGUUAUAUUUAAUUUCUAAAUAGCCAAAUAUCUAAAAAUAUUAUUUAUAAACCUACUUACCCAAAAAGCAAAUUACCCAAUUUUUUAUUAGAAAUAUUAAAAUUUAUCUGAUUAUUCAUAUUUUGUCCAAACAACCUGAAUAACCGAUUUUUAAACUGACCAACCUGAAUUAUCUAAUAUUUUAUUAUAAAUCUGAAAUUACCAAAAACCAUAUCGAACUGGAAACAAAUUGGACCUGAAUUUAUUUUGGAUAUUAACUAGUUCCUAACUUUGGUAUCCAAACCAAAGCAGAAACCAAAAUAACUCAACUGAAACUGAACUAUACUUUGUGGAAGUACCGGAAGUAUUUCUAAAUUUCUAGAAACACAACACCAAAAACCAAAAAAAAAAAAAAAAACUCAAACCAAAUGUUGAUGACUAAUAGUGCACUACAUUUAGAUGGUGUGAAAAAUUAUUGUACUUUUACAAAGUAUUUAACUCCCUUAGUUGGGUACAUAUGUGGUUUAUAGACGACUUAAGAUAUAAGCAGUGUUUCCAUACACGAUUUAGACAUGCAGUCGAGUCGGUAAACCUCGUAACCACAUAUAAUAUGGUUUCGAUUUAAUGAAAAAAACUCAUUAACUAAAAAUUUAAUAAAACCUAAAAGUCCGCCACUAACCCGUGAACCGACACAUAUUGAUCCGGUAAAAUUCCAGAAAAAAUGUGAUUAAACUUCUCAUAUACUUUUUAUUAGUAUAAAAAGUUAAAUAAACUAUUUGAUUUGUCAUAUAAAGUAAAUACAUUGUAUUUAUGUUAUGUAUUUUAAUUUAUGAGUUUUGUAAUGAUCAUAUUAAAGUUACAUUUGUGAGUUUUGAGAUUAAUAUGAGAUUUUAAUAAUUUUAGUUAUAUUAUUAUAAUAUAACUAUGUAUCUAGAUGAAAUUUCAUUUUUUUCAAGUGAAAUUAUUUUAACGUGUGUUGUGGACUAUUAAUCUAUUAUAAAUGUAUUUGCCAGUGUCACACACUAAAGGUUAGCCAAAUGAAAAUGUCACACAGUUAAACUAUUUUGUAACAGUUUCCACAGUUAAACUAUUUUGUAACAGUUUCCUCGCUUUUAAUGAGAUAACUUUUAAUGAAUAAUUUUUUUUUUUUUAAUAUGUACUUAUAUUUAUCAACCGGUCAAACCGGAAUUCAGUGUUUGAUACAAGCUUGGUUCAACCAGAAUUUCUAAAAUUAACCAUUACAAAACAUAGCUUCGCUCGCCCACUUAACCGACGCCAUCCGCUAGUUUGCUCCGAUAUCUUCAGAAAAUCAAUCUCUGUUCUCAGCCAUUAAUGUUGACCACGAGGAAGUGGGGUUUACCUAGUUUCCUCGGAUGUCGGACUCCUCGUGACAUCGUCGGAGGAGCUAGAUCUUGAUAAUUUCCCCAAAACUUGUAUCUUGACUGGACAUGAAGCGCUAGACACGAGCGGUUUAGAGGUAAGAGAUAGCAAACCUUGAAGGACGCCACCGAGACCUUACCGAACCGCAGACUGAGGAGGAGCGGGAUCACCAAAACCGUGAAGAUCAGGCAACUCAGAACCUCCGGACAAAUCGGGUUGCGAUGAUGACAAACCAAAUUUUGGGUCUUCAGUACCUGCAAUAAGAAAGAGCAAAGCCUACCAAGAUCACCAAUUGGCAAUCCCAGCACUGGGAUGGCUAAAAACUCCAAUCAAGUCACCCGCCGAUGGAGACCAAGAUGACUCAAACACUGGCCCCAACCGACGCCUUGACCCGAGAACUAGAGAACCUAGGACGGUCUCAUUGCGCUUCAGAACUACUCCUUGCUGGUGAGACUAAGAGUGGCAAGGAAGCGGCACCAAACAGCUCAACCGAACGAGCAACAACCCAAACCUAGAAGUGAGACGAACUAGCAAAACAGAGAGCAUCA